AAUAGAUACCCUGGUAGUCCACGCCGUAAACGAUGUCGACUUGGAGGUUGUUCCCUUGAGGAGUGGCUUCCGGAGCUAACGCGUUAAGUCGACCGCCUGGGGAGUACGGCCGCAAGGUUAAAACUCAAAUGAAUUGACGGGGGCCCGCACAAGCGGUGGAGCAUGUGGUUUAAUUCGAUGCAACGCGAAGAACCUUACCUACUCUUGACAUCCAGAGAACUUUCCAGAGAUGGAUUGGUGCCUUCGGGAACUCUGAGACAGGUGCUGCAUGGCUGUCGUCAGCUCGUGUUGUGAAAUGUUGGGUUAAGUCCCGCAACGAGCGCAACCCUUGUCCUUUGUUGCCAGCGGCUAGGCCGGGAACUCAAAGGAGACUGCCAGUGAUAAACUGGAGGAAGGUGGGGAUGACGUCAAGUCAUCAUGGCCCUUACGAGUAGGGCUACGACACGUGCUACAAUGGCGCAUACAAAGAGAAGCGACCUCGCGAGAGCAAGCGGACCUCAUAAAGUGCGUCGUAGUCCGGAUUGGAGU
rnacentral:rRNA from 1 species